ACAACUUAGGAACGAAGAAAAUUUCUCCUUUUUCCAAUAGGACUUGUCAUGAAAAUUAAAAGGAAAUAUUGCGAACAAUGAGGCCACGGUGCAGUUCUCUCCAACACACAAGAAAAUCAGAUUACAAUAUCUUUUGACUCCAGGUUACAAUAUUAACUGAGGCAUUGAGAGUUAUGUUGAUUUUAUAUUUUCACAGGAAAGAGUUUUUUUCUACUCACUCAUGAACCUUAAACCUGUGCUUACUGUGCAUGGAUAUUUUAAGUUAAAACGUUCCACUUUCACAUCAAUGGUGGCUACAGUUUUUACAUAUCUGGUGGUCUUGAUACAAAUUAAGCGUCGAAUUGGCCCAGAACAGUUGGUGCAAGAGAACAACGACAAGUUUGCCAUUAUGUUGCAAGGUUGAGAGCUAUAUAAUUUUAUUUUUAAACAUGGAACUCAUACUUUUUUAUAUAGGAGGAACAUCAUUGAUGGUCUGUGAUGUCUCAUUGCACUUAACUGCGGAAACGUCUUUGUGAGUCUCAUACAAGCACCCACUUAAACCCCUGCCAAACUUCUACUAUGCAAGAUACUUAUCAAAUCUUGUAAAGGUAAAAAUAUUUAAAAAUGGUAUAAAUGAAUAAAAAUAUUUAUGAGAACCCAGUUUUUGAAAGGAGGGGGGGAGGGAAGAAACAAAACGGAAUGAUAUUAAAAUCUUUUUAACCGUUUUAUUAAAGCGAGAGACGUUAUUCAUUACAAAUCACAAAAGUAAAUCACCUAAAAAUUAUUUUUACCACUUCACAAAUAUAUUUUCAUUGGUUGUUAUUACUUCUGCUAGCUUUUAGUUCUAUUAAAACAAUCAUGGAAUGUUAUUUGGAUUUAAAAAAACAAGAGAUGGGGGUACAUAAGGGUACAAGGCUUACAUAUCAUCAUAGGAGGAGAGGAUCUUGCAAAAACUAAAAUGAACGGAGUAAUACUUUAGGUAAGAGAGUAACUGAGAACAUGAACUGUACACGAAUAGUGCAAGUUGUCAACACACUGAAAAGAAAAAAAAGCGAUAAAAAUAGAUGAUGAUCUAAGUAUUCUGAUCAAGAAAAAAUGCAAAAAUCUUUGACUUGCUGAAAAGACCACUUCACGACUAAUUUUACUUUAGUAGAAUGUAAAAUUAGCAGCAUGCAGUUAAAACAGCAAAAUAGGAUUUGUACACACUUUUUCGACAAUCUUCUUAUCCAAUGUACACCAUUGUCUUGGAUCUUCUAAAACAAGCGGAAUUUCAUUCCAGUCACGUAAAAUAAUGAAAGAAUAAAGACAUCAAUGUAAACUGUACUAAAUUACAAUAAAUAGUCAUAUGGAAGUGAGUACAUUGCCUCAAUGACUAAAAGCCAAGCAUGAAUCCUAUCUGGAAAAAAGCUAAGACAAGUGAAGUGCAAACAAUUCAUUCAAUGCUACAGCAAAAAAGGAAAAUUAAUUUGUACUGCAACCCCAAUCACCGAUUAGCAAAAGAUACUAAUUGCUUUAGUAGCUGGUUGGAUUUUCAAAAAGGACAAGAAACUAAUUUUGGAAACCGGUAAAUAACCAGUAAUUCAGCUGCACGAUUUAUCUCCAAAGUAACACGAGCAUAUUUCAUACAUGAUGCAUGUAUUUUCGAUUGCAGAUUUGAAGAGGGAGGCCUUUCAGCUUUGUCUGGACUUACAAAAUUGGUCAGGAGGCUGCACUAUUAGAUUUAAUGUAACAUACAGAAUUAAGGUUAGUUAAUUUUGCACGUUAGAGUUAAAAUAACGCAAAAUUAUUGAGUCUACAUACUAGCACUCCGUCGGGAUGAGACAUUUUUUAUUGAAUUUGGCAUUAUUCAAGUGGAUAUGAUUGUAAGACCCAAAUUUUAGCUUCAGAAUGAAUUUGUAUUGCUAAUUUUUUUUUACAUGUUCUACUGAUGUUCAGAAAGUAAAAGAAAUCAAAUUCCAUGCAAUAUGUUCGUGUUGGAAUUGAGUUUUUCCUUGAAGUGCAUGAUUCAGAUUUUGAAAAUUUCAAGGCAAAAUGAUACUUAUGUUUGCUACAUGUAAGUAAUUUUGAUCAUUUUCAGAGAGAAACAUUGAUACAAUGGAUGAAGAAUGAAGUAAAAUAAUAAAAAAUCAAAAUGCACAGAAGCAUGGAUCUGCAUCAAAAUAAAAAUCUGAUAUGCAUAAAAUAUGUUUAACAAUUAACUUGACUUUCAACAACUUUACGAUUAAUUAAGGGUUUACUUGGACAACAAGUUUUCAGAAUAUAUACAAUAAAAUACUACUGGUGUUGAGUACCAGAAUUGGUUUGUAGUUGAUUUUAAGCAGAAUAGAUUAAUGUAGACUUCUUCGCGAUGAAAGAGAAGCAGAUGUAAAAUUGUGGAUCACUAAAAAGUAGAAAAAGUUUGCUCAAGUAAAAUUGAAGCUGAAAUAAAUACCCUUUAAGCACUAAAAAGAGAAAAUGAUGAUACAAUUCACACCCAUUUAUGAGAUGAUGCCAGUUUACAAGGCUUCUAAAUUAACAUGCCUUUUUAUAAUUCUGUAAUCUACUGAAUAAUUUUUUUCUUCUGUCGUUCACUGAAGAUGUUAUCUCACAACACAGUUGCAGGUCUCUUGGAUUUCAAGACUCCCGUUACUUGACCCAAUGAAGUUACAACUGAAAAUUAGUGGGAUCAUAGCAUCUACAAUUUCAAUGUGAAAUGUGGAUUAAACAUCAUUUAGCAAAUAAGGAUCUAACAGCAUCAUGAGUUGAGAAAUAAACUCAUAAGAAUUUGUUCAGUACUGAUAAUACAUGAUAAAAGUGAAAUCAGAGGAGAACAGAAAGGCUAAAACACUUGAGAGGGAUUACUUAAACUUCAUAAAAUACUGAAAACGCGUGUUAAUCCUUUUGUAGAUACAUCCUUCUUGCUAAACGUGAUUUUUGGUCAUACUUUUUAGCAAAACAGAAUUUUCUAUUACAAAAAUUGCAAGUAAAAACGCUCUAAUUAUUAAAGCUAAGCCUCAGCUGUUUGACGCAAAGUUUCCUUUUACAGCAAAGCUUCAA
rnacentral:lncRNA from 1 species